rnacentral:rRNA from 1 species
UACAGAGACUGCAAGCGUUAUUCGGAUUCACUGGGCGUAAAGGGUGCGCAGGCGGUUAUGUGUGUUAGAUGUGAAAGCCCGAGGCUCAACCUCGGAAUUGCGUCUAAAACUACAUGACUAGGGUACCGGAGAGGAUAGCGGAAUUCACGGUGUAGCAGUGAAAUGCGUAGAUAUCGUGAAGAACACCAGCGGCGAAGGCGGCUAUCUGGAAGGUAACUGACGCUCAGGCACGAAAGCGUGGGGAGCAAAAGGG